CACACACAGGCACCUUCCCACUAGGGAAGAGAGCUGCCCCCUGGAGAGGCUGGCCUAGGCCUGGGGCGCUAACCUGCCUGCUGCGAUACACAGCAAACGCACGGGCUGCGCCUGCCGCCCUGGGCCUCACCCCAAACCAUGCAGCGUCUCAGCCGGCUAAAGGACUUCAGCUUCCGCUUCCUCUUCGGAAUCUACCAGCAGGCGGAGAAGGCCCGGCUUCAGGGGGGAGUCCUGCUGGCUCAGAUAAGGAAGAACCUGACCCUAAUGGCGACCACCUCCCAGCUCCCCAAGCUGCUGGUUUACUCUGCGCACGACACUACCCUGGUUGCCCUGCAAAUGGCACUGGAUGUCUACAAUGGUGAACAAGCCCCCUACGCCUCCUGCCACAUAUUUGAACUGUACCAGGAAGAUUCUGGGAAUUUCUCAGUGGAGAUGUACUUUCGGAACGAGAGUGACAAGGCCCCCUGGCCGCUCAGCCUGCCUGGCUGCCCUCACUGCUGCCCACUGCAGGACUUCCUUCGCCUCACAGAGCCCGUCGUGCCCAAGGAUUGGCAGCAGGAGUGCCAGCUAGCAAGCGGUCCUGCAGACACAGAGGUGAUCGUGGCCUUGGCUGUAUGUGGCUCCAUCCUCUUCCUCCUCAUAGUGCUGCUCCUCACCGUCCUCUUCCGGAUGCAGGCCCAGCCUCCUGGCUACCGCCACGUCGCAGAUGGGGAGGACCACGCCUGACAACCACUCAGCCCCCUUCCCUCCACCUCC
rnacentral:sRNA from 1 species